CCGCCCCUUCAACCCCCGGUGGUCUCGUUCAAUACCUUGAUGGCAUCGCCUUUUGUGAGACUGAGAUGUUGUGAGAUGGAGGGGAUUAAGACCCAGGCUGUGGAAAACACAACUUUAUUGCUCCUGGUCACCUGUCGGCCUAUGUGAGGCUUUAAUAGCCUGGAAACAGUGCAGUGCUGAUUUUUAUUAUGGGCACUGCCUGUUUUUUUAAUGGGCUGCAAUGGGCUUCUAUCUAAAACUGGGUCUACGGCACGGACCCCCUAGGAGAGAAUGCUGGGUACGGGUGACUUUUUCUCCCCCCUUAAAAUUUGCAACAAAUUCAGACCCCUGGGAACCAGGCAAGUUGAAUUAUUGAAUUAUUAUCAGCGUCAUGAAUGCCCCUGAUGGAUCGAUUAAGUGCAGAGUGACAGCACUCCCCCGUGGCUCUCCAGGGCCGGGGUUUUCAGACUCCUGACUGGAAAACUGAACUGGUUUUCUGCAACAGGAAGUGGACUUACUCACGGUCUGCGCAUGGCAAUGCAUUGGGAAAAUUUCACCUGGCACAACUUCUUCCCAAUAAUCUUUGUAAUCCAUAGGGCUGUCACUCACUUCGGCCUGCUUUAAAAAUCAACAUUUGUCACUAAUUUUGUGUUACAGUUUGGCAAGUUAACUUUUGUUAAAAGUUAACUAACGUGAUUGUGACAAUCCAAAUGUGAGGAAAUAUCACUCCGUUUUUUAGUCCAAGUAGAUAACAGAUAAAGGACAAACAUUGUUUGAAUCCAUCUGUGAUACUCAGUGCUCCACCUAUGAUAUCAUGCCUCACGUCCAGAAGGUGGCGAUAGUUGACAAUAAAGAGAUAAAUUCCGGUCAGCGCUUUAAUCUCCCAGCAAUAUCUAUUUAAAAACCUUUUCUUCCUCCAUCAGAUUUGUAUGGCCCUCACUGAGCUGUGCUAUAGGCUUCAUGAAUGUAGGCUGUAUUUUCCUAGUGCUUAAAGUCCAAAGACAACCUUGAUAAUUUUAAUUCCUACAAUCAAUAAAAAAAACCCCACAAGUUUUACAGUGGAAACUGUGCUUACUAUCUGUGCGACUGAAUUGAGAUUAAAUAACAUUAACGACUAACAUUAAAUACAAAAUGUAUCAUUGCUAUCUCUUAAACCUGUAAAGAGGGUAGAACAUUUCAAGUUUAAUUUAGUCCAUACUUCCUAAUCAAGUCUAGUCAUAGCCAUGAUCACUGUGGAUUUAAAUCCAAUUAAAUCCCUCUGCACAUUAUUUUAGGCUACAUACACGUUUUAUGGAUAAUAUGGAUUAACUGUAAUUUAUUUGAAAUGCGCUUGAAAAAUAAGACAGUACUUUAUGUGCAGGUCUCAUGAGUGGCCUAAAUAAUCUUGCCAGUUUUGCAACUGACUACCAUGUCUUGAAAUCACCAACAGAGCCAACAAAGAUUUGUUCGUUGUAUUUAUGUGAACCUGUGAUAACCUGUACUAUAUGUCCGUAAACUUGAGUGUCUUCUUGCUUACUUGGAACAGGUCUCUCUUGAAAAAGACAAUUUAUCUCAAUGAGACUCACCUGUGUAAAGGUAAAUAAAUAAAUAAAUCAGAUUGUGAACAAAUCCUUAGCUAUCAUUCAGUAGACAAAUCAGUGUUGGGUCUCUUUUAAUGGUACAACCCCCCUCCACCCAGGGUGUUUCAUAAAUCCCUGAAUUGGCUCCUUAAAAGUGAAUGGCUAACAGUGAUUUGUUUUAAAAAAAAGAAAAAGAUA